GGGCGUAAAGCGUCAGUAGGUGGCCAAGUAAGUCUGYUGUCAAAGACCACAGCUUAACUGUGGAAAGGCAGUGGAAACUGCAUGGCUAGAGUACGGUAGGGGUAGAGGGAAUUCCAGGUGUAGCGGUGAAAUGCGUAGAUCUCUGGAAGAACGCCGGUGGCGAAAGCGCUCUACUGGGCCGUAACUGACACUGAGGGACGAAAGCUAGGGGAGCGAAAGGGAUUAGAUACCCCUGUAGUCCUAGCCGUAAACGAUGGAUACUAGGUGGAGCACGUAUCGACCCGUGCUGUAUCGGAGCCAACGCGUUAAGUAUCCCGGCUGGGGAGUACGCGCGCAAGCGUGAAACUCAAAGGAAUUGWCGGGGGCCCGCACAAGCGGUGGAGUAUGUGGUUUAAUUCGAUGCAACGCGAAGAACCUUACCAGGGCUUGACAUGUCGCGAAGCCUUCCGAAAGGAGGGUGUGCCGAAAGGAACGCGAACACAGGUGGUGCAUGGCUGUCGUCAGCUGGUGUCGUGAGAUGUUGGGUGAAGUCCCGCAACGAGCGCAACCCUCGUCUUUAGUUGCCAUCAUUAAGUUGGGAACUCUAGAGAGACUGCCGGUGACAAACCGGAGGAAGGUGGGGACGACGUCAAGUCAGCAUGCCCCUUACGCCCUGGGCGACACACGUACUACAAUGGUGAGGACAGAGGGCAGCCAACUUGCAAAAGUGAGCAAAUCCCGCAAACCUCGCCUCAGUUCAGAUCGCAGGCUGCAACUCGCCUGCGUGAAGGAGGAAUCGCUAGUAAUCGCAGGUC
rnacentral:rRNA from 1 species